UAGUGUAGAGGUAGCUAUUAAGCCUGGGGCGGUAGCGUG
rnacentral:ncRNA from 1 species